rnacentral:ncRNA from 22 species
CCCGUCGAACCUGAUCCGGGCAAUACCGGCGUAGGGAACGGGUCAACGUGUAUA